AAAAGUCCAUCAUAAUAUUCAUCCAAAAAAUAAGAAAAGUAACCUCCUUCAAAAGCAUUUCCAAGCCACUUAUAGAUUAAUUUGGCCAAAACAGGUACUGAUGAAAGUAGUUUCAAUAUACUGAUGCCUAAUCCAAGAAUCUACAUGGCAUCCAAUUUCCUGACAAAGUAAAAAAGCCUACGCCUGUCAUUCAAGGUCUUCUGGAAUGUAUCUUGGCCUACAUAUUCUCUUCCAAAACAUUUACAAUUGACAAAACACUGAUAAAAGCUACCAUAAAUGUCAUAAAUAAGCCUAUCUCAUUAUUCAUCUCAUCUCUAAGUUAUUUCUAUCUUUUAAAGCCAUAUGUACAAGCUACAUGUACUCAAUCAGGUGAUUUAUCAGUUAUUCCCAGAACUUUUCAAAUAUUUAUACUCACUAUUAAUAUCACCAUAUGUUUUAUACCAGCAUGUGUAUAAAGAUAUAUUUUAUCUAAAAACAAGAAUUACAGAACAUAAUUAGUGUGAUUUAAAUGAAAUAAUGGAUAACGGCAAAUGCUCAAUAAGAAUUAUGUUACACAUAGAUAUAAUAUCCAAAAAUAGUUAUCAUUAGUUUCAACAAAACUUUUAUUAAUUCACUAUACAAAUAUUUAUCAAGAAUGUACUAUGCAAAACAUUGGGCCACGAUGGGAGUAAAAU